UACAGAGGGUGCAAGCGUUGUUCGGAAUUAUUGGGCGUAAAGGGCGCGUAGGCGGUUCGCUAAGUUGAAUGUGAAAACUCUGGGCUUAACCCAGAGCCUGCAUUCAAUACUGGCGGGCUAGAGUUCUGGAGGGGAUAGCGGAAUUCCUGGUGUAGCGGUGAAAUGCGUAGAUAUCAGGAGGAACACCGGUGGCGAAGGCGGCUAUCUGGACAGAGUCUGACGCUGAGGCGCGAAAGCUAGGGGAGCAAACAGG
rnacentral:rRNA from 1 species